rnacentral:rRNA from 1 species
GGACCUGACUGCUAUCGGAUUGCAUACUAAGCCAUGCGAGUCAUUGUAGCAAUACAAGGCAGACGGCUCAGUAACGCGUAGUCAACCUACCCUAUGGACGGGAAUAACCUCGGGAAACUGAGUAUAAUGCCCGAUAGAACAUUAUGCCUGGAAUGGUUUAUGUUCCAAAUGAUUUAUCGCCGUAGGAUGGGACUGCGGCCUAUCAGUUUGUUGGUGAGGUAAUGGCCCACCAAGACUAUUACAGGUACGGGCUCUGAGAGGAGUGGCCCGGAGAUGGGUACUGAGACACGGACCCAGGCCCUAUGGGGCGCAGCAGGCGAGAAAACUUUGCAAUGUGCGAAAGCACGACAAGGUUAAUCCGAGUGGUUUCUGCUAAAGGAACCUUUUGUCAGUCCUAGAAACACUGAUGAAUAAGGGGUGGGCAAGUUCUGGUGU